rnacentral:rRNA from 1 species
ACGAACGCUGGCGGCUGCUUAACACAUGCAAGUCGAACGGAGUGGCGAACGGGUGAGUAACGCGUGAGCAACCUGCCUAUGACAGUGGGAUAGCCUCGGGAAACCGGGCUUAAUACCGCAUAAUCAUAGAUGGGCUGGCGUCUGAUUAGCGAGUUGGUGAGAUAACAGCCCACCAAGGCGACGAUGAGUAGCCGGUCUGGGAGGAUGAACGGAAACAUUGGAACUGGGGCACGGUCCAAACUCCUACGGGAGGGAGCAGUGGGGAAUAUUGCACAAUGGGGGAAACCCUGAUGCAGCGACGCCGCGUGAACGAAGAAGGUAUUCGUAUCGUAAAGUUCUGUCCUAUGGGAAGCAGUACCAUAGAAGAAAGCUCCGGCUAAAUACGUGCCAGCAGCCGCGGUAAUAC